rnacentral:rRNA from 1 species
UACAGAGGGUGCAAGCGUUAAUCGGAAUUACUGGGCGUAAAGGGCUCGUAGGCGGCCAACUAAGUCGGAUGUGAAAUCCCCAGGCUUAACCUGGGAACUGCAUCCGAUACUGGAUGGCUUGAAUCCGGGAGAGGGAUGCAGAAUUCCAGGUGUAGCGGUGAAAUGCGUAGAUAUCUGGAGGAAUACCGGUGGCGAAGGCGGCAUCCUGGACCGGCAUUGACGCUGAUGAGCGAAAGCUAGGGGAGCAAACGGG